UCUGUCUCUUCUAAGCUUCGCUGGUCCACAUAUUUAUCUUUGCUAAUAGCAUACUCUGAUCAACCUCAUAGGUUGUUUGAAUAUCCAUGUGAAAUUUCUGGUUUCAUUGUUAUAAGAGGCCAUUAUCAAGGGGGAGGGAAGAUUGAUAGGUGGGAUGGGUCAGAUAUAACGCAACUAUAGUAACUAUUUCAAAGUGUUAAACCAACAAAACACAGUAAGUGUGUUGCCCCGGGGCCAACAAAACGCAGAAAGUUUAUUAAAAAAGUGGCCGGGGCCAAGCCCCGGGAGAUGUAUACAUAGCUCUGCUCAGACAAUAAGUGUGUUCGGGCUCCCCACCUGCAAAGAUUAAUCUGAAUUUUGUUAUACACACACACACCAAAAAAAAUUCAACUAGGCAUUCAUACUAACUACAUAUAUUGAUAUAUACUAUUUUAUACAUAAUCCUUUCAUUCAUAUAGGAGUGGUGAAAUGGGUUGAUGCCAUUAGGUUGACCCAUUUAAUCCACCCUUUUUGCUGAGGCAGAUUGAGAUUUUCAAUUUGUCUCAAGCAACCCCUGUAUAAUCCAUAAAAUGGGCUGCGAGUGGGUUGACCUGUCGAGUUAUUUUUUAUUCGAAUACUUUUUUGAAACUUAGGACGUGGAGAGGGCAGAACAAUUGCUGAAUGAGAUGAAUGUAAAGGGUGUGGGCAGGACACUAACUGGCAGAACCAACAACCAAGGUUAGUUUGUUGAUAUCAUCUCAAAUUUUUGUUGUAUGCUUCACACUUUUUUUUCAAAGAUUGUUGUUUUUUUUUUUUUGAAGGGUCAAAGAUUGUCUGUCGUGUGCUUCAUGUUUUGAAUGGUUGCUGGUUGCAUGCUUCAUGAUUCAUGUUUUAAUUCUAUAUUAUUGAAUCAUAUUAUCAUUGCAAUUUGCAACUGCUGCAUAGUGUCAAAAACAAAUACUAUUUGGGAGGAGAAACUACAGUCUAGUCUGUGAUAUUAUAUACUAUUCCACCGAAGAUAAUAAAUUAGAUAUCUGAAAACAGGUUGAAUAACAAGUAAAACUAAUAAAACAGGAAAGUGAGUUAGGUGGUUGAGGUUAGUGGCAGUGGAGGAAGAACUUUUGUAUAUAAUAAUGACCACUACUUAUAAAUGAAUCAAGAGAUUUAACAUAGCUUCAUUCCCAAAAAUUCCUUACUUUGCAGUUUAUGUCAGGAUAGUACGAUGGUCAACAUAGACCUUUGUAUCAAUUUUAUUAUGAUUUUUGUGUUUAGGUAGUUUUUGGAUUAUAUAAUCCUAAAAUCCCAAAAAAGGAGUUCGGAUUAUAUAAUCCGAACACGGGUAUUUUUUGAAGAGAAAAAAAGAGGGCGUAUGAGAAGAGGUAGGGUGGGAAAAGAAACAGUCAUUGUUUUUUUACUCUUCUCAUAUAAUAAGAGCUCUUUAAACAAGGAAAUUAUUUGAUAGACACCAAAAAAUCCAUUGACGCCUGUAUUUAAUUUUAUUAUGGAUGGGUGAAAAUUUUCUGCAAUGCCCUUUAAAAAGUAUGAGUGUAGAAGAAGUUGGUGAACAAUACUUCAAUGAUCUAUUUUCAAGGUCAUUUUUUCAGGAAUCAAGGGAAUAUGAGAUGGAUUUUAUCAUGCAUGACCUUCUCAAUGAUUUGGCUAAAUAUGUGUGCGGUGAUUUUUGCUCAACACUCAAAGAUGAGGAAUCUCAUAACAGAUUGAAAAUGACUCGCCAUGUGUCAUUUUUAGGAAAUUCAGGCAAUAGUUUCAAAUUUUUUGAGACCUUAUAUAAUGCAAAUAGAUUACGCACAUUUCUUCCACUAUGUAUGAGAUCCAACGAAGGUGACAGUAAACUUUUGAUGUCUAGCAUAUUGAUGCAGGAAUUGUUCUCAAAGUUUAAGUUCUUUCGUGUCUUGUCAAUGUCUGGUUUUUCCACUGAGAAUGAGUUGCUUGACACCAUAGGCAAUCUCAAGCAUCUCCGUUUUCUAGACGUCUCUGGUACCAACAUAAAGAAGCUACUGGAUUCAGUCUGUUCUCUCUAUAACUUGCAAAUACUCAAGCUGAUGAAUUGUAAGUGUUUGGAAGAGUUGCCAUUAAAUUUAUAUAAACUCACUAAUGUCCGUUACCUCAACUUUAGCAAAACGAAAGUGAGAAGAAGACCAAUGGAUGUGGGAAAACUAAAGAAUCUUCAAGUGCUGAGUUCAUUUUAUGUGGACAAAGGUAGCGAGGCCAAUAUUCAUCAGUUAUAGGAGAAUUCAAUCUUCAUGGAACACUAUUAAUUUUAGAGCUGCAAAAGAUUGUAAAUCCCUCUGAUGCAUUGGCAGCAACUUUGAAAAAUAAAGUACAUCUUGUGAAGCUAGAGUUAGAAUGGAAUGCAUGCAGUGACAAUUCGGAGAAAGAAAGGGAAGUGCUGGAGAAGUUGCAACCUUCCAAACAAUUGAAGAAGUUGUCAAUACGGGGCUAUGGAGGUACACGAUUUCCAGAAUGGUUUUGAGAUAAUUAAUUGUCAAAUUUGGUGUCUUUAAAAUUGAGAGAUUGUGAAAAUUGUGUGUUGUUGCCUCCACUUGGGAUUUUGCCAUCUCUCAAGAAAUUGUGGAUCACAGGGCUAUCUGGGAUAGUGGCGAUUGGUAGUGAAUUUUAUGACAAUAGGAGCAUCUCUUCUUCAGUUAGUCCUCCAUUUACAUCCUUGGAAAUCUUAAAAUUUGAGAAUAUGGAGGGAUGGGAAGAAUGGGAUUGUAAAAUUGUGACAGGUGCUUUUCCGUGUCUCCAAAAGCUUUUCAUAAAUGAUUGUCCAUAUCUAGAAGAGUGUUUACCUGAGCAACUUCCUUGUUUGUUGAAACUAAAAAUUACUAACUGCAGCCAACUUGUGGCUUCUGUUCCAUUUGCUCCAUCCAUUCGUCGAUUACAUCUAAGUAAUUGUGGAAGGCUGCAUAUCGGUUAUCAACUAUCUACUCUCAGAAUUCUCAGAAUUGAUGAAUGGUGUAUGAAAGAAUCGUUCCUUGAAUGGGUUGGGCACAUCUCUCUUGAAACACUAAUGAUUAUGCGUUCCCCAACUAUGAACAUUCCUCUAGGCUGUUCCUACAACUUUCUUGAAUAUUUGGACCUUUCAUCUGGACUUCUUCCCAAAACUCGAGUGCCUCAGUUUGACUAAGUGUAGUAAUCUUGAAAUGAUUUCACAGGAGCAUCAUUGUAGCCUUACACGUCUGUAUAUCAGAGAGUGUAGUAAUCUUGAAAUGAAUCUUAAAAAAUUGGAUUACGAGGGUUUCUGCAACCUCUCCUCUCUUGAAUCUUUGUGUCUCUCUAAUUGCCCCAACCUUCAAUGCUUACCGGUGGAGGGCCUGCCUAAAUCCAUUUCAAGGCUAGCAAUUUGUGGUCCUUCUGUUGUCAAAGAACGAUACAUGAAACCUAAAGGUGAAGAGUGGGGGAAGAUUUCUCACAUUCAAUGUUUGGUGAUCAAUGAUGUCAUAAUAAACUGAACUACAACUUCUAGAUGAUGCAUGCGCUGAUUCUCAUAUUGUACAGAUUUUAAGCAGUGUUCAUGCUCUGUGACGAAGGGGGACAUAGAGAAGACAGAGCUUUCUUCAACUACACCAAUUGCUUCAUGGUGUUAUAAGUCAGAGCUUUUUCUUGGGGAGCUGUUUCGACAACCAUAAAUGUUAUUUAAUUCUUCAAUACAGAAACUAGCUGUCAACAGCUUCAAGCAUCAAAAAAUUAAAGGAAUAAUCUUGUGUUGGUAAGAAUACUGCUGCAGACAUUGACAGAGCUUUCUGGACUAUUAGGCUCCUUGAACUUGUUUUUGUAUCAAUUGACCGGAAGUAUACUUACCAGCAUACCAUCUCUCAACUGAAAUGCCAUCCAACAGAUUUUCAGUUUACAGGGCAUGGAUACUAUUAGAUGAAAAGGAUUGAAUAUGUAGAGAAGUUGUAACUGGAAAUCAGAAAACACAAAUGCUGCCUCUCAAAUACGUUUGGAGGAGAUUUAUGAUCACUGCCAAAAUCUAUAGAUGCUUUAGUGUUUCUCAUUAGAGCAUGAAAAUUCAGAGAUUUAUUUUCAAUUCUUGUGCUGAUAAGAUUGAUAAUAUUAGAGCAUGAAAUGUACGUUUUUCCAUGUACAAUAUCUUGAAGAAUAUACUUGUUCACUCUAUUCAUCAAGACAAAUUUACUUUAACUAUUCUAGGGAUCAAAUAAU